rnacentral:tRNA from 1 species
GGAUGCAUGCCCGAGCGGUCUAAGGGAGCGGCUUGCUAAGCCGUCGCCGGUCCACACCGGCGCCUCGGUUCGAAUCCGAGUGCAUCCGCCA